rnacentral:lncRNA from 1 species
UUCGGGUCAAGUCACUGUUCCAUCGUCGACAUUAGUUACAUAUGGUAAUGCAGUUGAUAUUUUAAGAUUUCGUUAUACUAAGAGUAAACGAGAAACGAUAUCUUAAUUUAAUCACAUUGUCGUUGAAAUUCAAAAUUGUGAUUUUUCGACAGGCGUUAGAGGUACGGACAAUCACGGACUCUUUUCUCUGUCUUUUCUUUCUAUUUUUUUUUGUUAUAAGUUUCCUUGGUAAUUAAACUUAUUUUCCUCUAUUCCAAAUGUUAUUGUUAUUACCCAUACAUUCUUAAAAAAAGUAGUGUUUUUUCGGAGGGGGGGGGGGUAUACCUCAAGAACAUGUUUUUGUUGUUGCAAAUCAAGAGAAAUAACUUGAGGUCGACGAAAGUAAGGCAUACAAAUAGAACAAAAUUGACAUACCGUAGCGAUAUGUCCCUAUCUAUCUCUAUCGAACAUUUAACGUCAGGUAAACUGAAGAAAAAAACUGAAAUAAAUAUGUUUGCAUAAUCAAAAACAAAAACG